rnacentral:pre_miRNA from 1 species
UGAUAAUUCGCAUAACAUCUAGCCGGAUAAAUCCUGUGUGCAUUGAUAGAAAGUGAAAUGAUUUUAUUCAUAAGAUCUACCAUAUCUAGCACCAGGGUAUAUCGGGAUUGAAACGAACAUGAUCAUCA